rnacentral:rRNA from 1 species
GAUGAACGCUAGCGGGAGGCCUAAUACAUGCAAGUCGAACGGUAAGGUCCCUUCGGGGAUACACGAGUGGCGGACGGGUGCGUAACGCGUACGAAACAUACCUUCAACAGGGAGAUACCGUCCGGGAAAACUGGGAAAAUAAUACCCCAUAGUAUUGUGACAUCGGCAGUGAUGUUACAAUUAAAGCUUUGGCGGUUGAAGAUUGUCGUGCGUCUGAUUAGCGUAGUUGGUGAGGUAACGGCUCACCAAGGCGACGAUCAGUAGCUGGUCUGAGAGGAUGAUCAGCCACACUGGAACUGAGACACGGUCCAGACUCCUACGGGAGCAGCAGUAGGG